rnacentral:rRNA from 1 species
CUUUUGACGGUGGAUCUCUUGGCUCACGCAUCGAUGAAGAACGCAGCCAGCUGCGAUAAGUAGUGUGAAUUGCAGAAUUCAGUGAAUCAUCGAAUCUUUGAACGCAAACGGCGCUCUUGGGUUCUCCCAGGAGCAUGUCUGUCUGAGUGUC